rnacentral:tRNA from 1 species
AUUCAUUUAAUAUAAACAAAGUAUGUUUGAUUUCCAAUCAAAAAGUCUUAAUUUAAGAAUGAAUA